AAAGAUACAUACGAUCUUACA
rnacentral:miRNA from 1 species